rnacentral:rRNA from 2 species
UUAAAUUGAAGAGUUUGAUCAUGGCUCAGAUUGAACGCUGGCGGCAGGCCUAACACAUGCAAGUCGAACGGUAACAGGAAGAAGCUUGCUUCUUUGCU